rnacentral:rRNA from 1 species
GACGAACGCUGGCGGCGUGCCUAAUACAUGCAAGUCGAACGAGUGGCGAACGGGUGAGUAACACGUGGGUGACCUGCCCUGCACUUCGGGAUAAUCCUGGGAAACUGGGUCUAAUACCGGAUAGUGUGGGAUGGGCCCGCGGCCUAUCAGCUUUGUGGUGGGGUAAUGGCUACCAAGGCGCGACGGGUAGCCGGCCUGGGAGGGUGGCCGUCCACAGUGGGACUGAGACACGGCCCAGACUCCUACGGGAGGCAGCAGUGGGGAAGAUUGCACAAUGGGCGGAAGCCGGAUACAGCCAUGCCGCGUGUAUGAAGAAGGCCUUAGGGUUGUAAAGUACUUUCAGCGGGGAGGCGUUACCCGCAGAAGAAGCACCGGCUAACUCCGUGCCAGCAGCCGCGGUAAUAC